rnacentral:rRNA from 1 species
GAUGAACGCUGGCGGCGUGCCUAAUACAUGCAAGUCGAGCGAAGCGGGGACGGGUGAGUAACACGUGGAUAACCUCCUAUAAGACUGGGAUAACUUCGGGAAACCGGAGCUAAACCGGAUACUUAUAGAUGGAUCCGCGCUGCAUUAGCUAGUUGGUAAGGUAACGGCUUACCAAGGCAACGAUGCAUAGCCGACCUGAGAGGAUGAUCAGCACAACUGGGACUGGGACACGGCCCGUACUCCUACGGGAGGCAGCAGUGGGGAAUAUGGCAAAAUGGGCGCAAGCCUGAUGCAGCCAUGCCGCGUGUAUGAAGAAGGCCUUAGGGUUGUAAAGUACUUUCAGCGGGGAGGCGUUACCCGCAGAAGAAGCACCGGCUAACUCCGUGCCAGCAGCCGCGGUAAUAC